ensembl:lncRNA
AGCUUGAGUCAGCUGUCUCAGCUAUGUCCUCUCCUAGCAUAUUCUGCACCUCCAGCCUCCUUGCUGAUAGGACUGCAGGACAAGCAGAAAAGUCCUUGGCUCUUUGUAAGUACUGCUCUGCAACAGCUAAAACUGUGUUGUGUUAUCACCACUACUUUCAUCAGAAAUCCAAAACAUGGCAUCAUAGAAGCCUCUAUGAAGAAAAUUAAUUUGAUGACAGCCAUAACCACGACAUAUGCUCAAUUACUUUUUAAUUGUUGCAGAUGGAAUAGAUAAAAUAAAGUGAACAGGGUUGUGAUUUUUGUAGAGCAAAUAAGAAUACAGGUUAAUAAUGCCCAGCUGUAGAAAAUGGUAUAACUAAGUCCAGAUUUUAACCACCCAUGGUCUCCUGGCUUUCAUUUGCAAAGGACUCAGCUAUUCCUCAUUGUUUCAGUAGAUUUUGUUCAAAUUUUUUAGCACUGCAAUAUGAAUAUUAAAUCUGCAGAUUGGUAUUUAAUUUGAUUUCAUAGAUCAGUUAGGCAACCAAGGGAGCAGAUAAUUGGAUAGCUACAGACUAUUCCUCAUGUUAGAGGAUCUUUCACAAAUCUGACAGUCCACUUAUUUUUUGGAUUUAGUGGCUGAAUAACUCACUAGGCUGAAAAUAUAGAGCAUCAUCUUCAGACGCUGUAAUAAUUUCUCAGGGCCUUUUAAACAGAGCAAGCAGGUAACAAAGUAAAAGGGGCUAUGGGCUAUUUUCUAAUAAAAUUGUAAGUGUUGAUAUCUAUAUAAAAGCACAACUAUCUUGAAGGUCAUUUAUCUCAUCAAAUAUAUGUUAUUGUAACAGUCUUGAAUACUCUGGUUAUCUGUCUGUCCAGCUAGUUUCCUGGAAGUUGGACUAUUAAAAGAGGAUUCUAGUCUUUGGGACUCAGUCCCUAUUGUGACAGUAAGCCAUUGAUGUGGUUAAAAAUUUUGCAUCAUUUUAUUUUAAUUGUUUUGUUGUGGAUGUUGUUGCUGUCUUAGACAUCGGUUAGACCACUAUUUGGCUUGACAUUUGUAAAGACAAAUGAACCACUAUUCUGACUCUCAGUACUUCUUAGUGUAUGUGUACAGAGUGUAAAUAACAGAAAUAGUUACAUUACAAAUAUAUGAGCACAGUGACUCAUUCUAAAAUGGGGUAGAAAAUUCCUUUCCUGUUUCCUGAUGUUUUUUUUUUUUUUUUUUUCCAGAAACAGAGCCUUUUAAAGGCUUUGUUAUUGCUGCUAACCAGUUUUAACAUUUCAUUGACAGUUUGCUGCAGAUUCUCCAUGGGAACGUACAUGAUACUGGAUGUGUUUCCCAAAAGUAGAACAUACAGUGGUGAAUAGCGGAGCACUUAAUAUUAUGCAAAAUGUCAAGCUUCUCAAUUAAAAAACACCCAGGUUACUUCACCAGAGUGAGUAAAGUGCUAUUUUUUAAGUAACUUGACAUUAAAAAUAAAUUGGACACUAUUCUUUUAAUUCACUGUCUAUUAAAUACGAUUUUGAGGGAACUCUAUGGGCACUUGGAACAUUCCCUGAACCAGGUAGAAGAGUGACAAUAUGCUAAUGGAUGAGGUGUGGGAACAUCACUGGGACAUGGUUGUAAGCAACUCACAAAAAUAGCUUAGAAGAUUAGAUGAUUAGUGGUUAGUGUGUGAGGUGUACCUCCAUUCAUGUAGCAAAAUAAUGAAAAAAAUUAGCUUAGUCUGAUAACUUUAUAUUCUUGUAGUGAAACCAAACUAAAAAGUCAUUUCAAAGGCUGAAGGAAUCAGAAGAACCUCACCUGUACUCUCUUGCCUACUCAUGUCAUGGGUAUUGGAACUAGACAAUUUUUAAGAUCCCUUACAAUCCUAACAAUACCAUGAUUCUGUGAUUUUCUUCUCCAAGAUUAUGAAAAAAAAAAAAAAAAGUGGCUAAGAGGACGGGAAUCUAUAAAGCAUCUUUUAAAGAAUCUAUUAAAGGUUUAUGGACAAUGUAUUUGGUGUAAAAAUUACUUUCUUGGUGGAAAUUGCUCAGGUUUGAAAAACAGCUGCGGAUAAACACUCCUAAAAUAUAACAAAGAUCC